UAAGUUAACCCUUAAUAGGGCAAAGGCCAAUUGGUUACCACCUCAGUUUAUUGACCAUAAACCAAGGAUCGUUUUAUGCAUGAUUUCAUAAAUUCAUCUUUUGGAAGGUGUAAAUAGCGUAUAAACUUUUAUUAGACCUGGCAAUAACGUAACUGAAAAAGUUUACAAACUACCAACAAUUAAAAAAAAAGUAUCGAAAAAAUUUGGAAAUUGGAGGUAUGUGGUUGCGUUAGUUAUAAUUUUGUUCUAAUAAGAUUCCGAAAAUGUCGAAUACUAACAUCAAGAAAAAGAAGCUUUCGGACACUGCAAUUGAGAGAAUUUUAGAAGGAAAUCUCUCCGAUAUUGAAAGCAGUGACGAAAGUAUCUCGGAAGAACCACUUUGGGGCACUAACAAAAUUGGUCAGAUAAGAUUCCAAGGCAUAGCAUACCAAAGUGCUAACUGUAAAUAUGCGCGUUUGGCUCGGAGUCUAAUAGAUGGAUUCACAUGCAAAAAAAUAACAACAAGUAUUAUUUUCAAGAUUAAAAAAGGUGGGAAUUUCGGAGUACCCGCUGAAAUCAGACGCUCUUCUGUACCACACUACCCGGAAAACCAGGAAAAAUUUACUAGAUGUCGAUUAUGUAGCACGAAAAGCAUUCAAAAACGAUUGAGAAUUAUUUGUAACAUCUGCAAAGUAGCUUUAUGUGCUACACCAUGCUUCAAAAGCUUUCAUAUUGCUCCAGAAUAAGGAGAAACUAGGGACUGUAGCAGCUCUAGCUCUUGUACCUUGACGGGCUAAGGUCAAAUAAUUACCACCCAAUUUUCGCGUACUUAUGAUAAUAUAUUCUUAGAUUUUCUUGAAUACGAUUAAAAUAGGUCCUAAUAUACGAAUAAAUAAUAACACAAAAGCUGUUUUUUUAAUAUUUUUUACCUCCGCCCUAUUAAGGGUUAAUAUUGUU